UACGAAGGGGGCUAGCGUUGCUCGGAAUCACUGGGCGUAAAGGGUGCGUAGGCGGGUCUUUAAGUCAGGGGUGAAAUCCUGGAGCUCAACUCCAGAACUGCCUUUGAUACUGAAGAUCUUGAGUUCGGGAGAGGUGAGUGGAACUGCGAGUGUAGAGGUGAAAUUCGUAGAUAUUCGCAAGAACACCAGUGGCGAAGGCGACUUACUGGACACAUAUUGACGCUGAGGUGCGAAAAGCGUGGGGAGCAAACAGG
rnacentral:rRNA from 1 species